UACAGAGGGUGCGACCGUUAAUCGGAAUUACUGGGCGUAAAGCGUGCGUAGACGGUAGCGUAAGUCAGAUGUGAAAGCCCCGGGCUCAACCUGGGAACUGCAUUUGAGACUGCUCUGCUCGGGUGCGGAAGAGGGAAGCGGAAUUUCCGGUGUAGCGGUGAAAUGCGUAGAUAUCGGAAGGAACACCAGUGGCGAAAGCGGCUUCCUGGUCCGACACCGACGUUCAGGCACGAAAGCGUGGGGAGCAAACAGG
rnacentral:rRNA from 1 species